AUCAGAGAGAGAGGAGGAGGGAGUAGCAUACCAUCAGAGAGAGAAGAGAGGAGGGAGUAGCAUACCAUCAGAGAGAGAGAGAAGAGAGGAGGGAGUAGCAUACCAUCAGAGAGAGAGGAGGAGGAGGGAGUAGCAUACCAUCAGAGAGAGAGAGGAGGAGGAGGGAGUAGCAUACCAUCAGAGAGAGAGGAGGAGGGAGUAGCAUACCAUCAGAGAGAGAGAGGAGGAGGAGGGAGUAGCAUACCAUCAGAGACAGAGAGGAGGAGGGAGGAGUAGCAUACCAUCAGAGAGAAGAGGAGGAGGGAGGAGCAUACCAUCAGAGAGAGAGGAGGAGGGAGUAGCAUACCAUCAGAGAGAGAGAGGAGGAGGGAGUAGCAUACCAUCAGAGAGAGAGAGAGGAGGAGGGAGUAGCAUACCAUCAGAGAGAGAGAGGAGGAGGGAGUAGCAUACCAUCAGAGAGAGAGGAGGAGGAGUAGCAUACCAUCAGAGAGAGAGAGGAGGAGGGAGUAGCAUACCAUCAGAGAGAGGAGGAGGAGGAGGGAGUAGCAUACCAUCAGAGAGAGGAGGAGGAGGGAGUAGCAUACCAUCAGAGAGAGAGAGGAGGAGGGAGUAGCAUACCAUCAGAGAGAGGAGGAGGAGGGAGUAGCAUACCAUCAGAGAGAGGAGGAGGGAGUAGCAUACCAUCAGAGAGAGGAGGAGGGAGUAGCAUACCAUCAGAGAGAGGAGGAGGGAGUAGCAUACCAUCAGAGAGAGAGAGGAGGAGGGAGUAGCAUACCAUCAAAGAGAGAGGAGGGAGGAGCAUACCAUCAGAGAGAGGAGGAGGGAGUAGCAUACCAUCAGAGAGAGAAGAGAGGAGGGACAUACCAUCAGAGAGAGAGAGGAGGAGGGAGUAGCAUACCAUCAGAGAGAGAGAGGAGGAAGGAGUAG
rnacentral:lncRNA from 1 species